rnacentral:tRNA from 1 species
GCUUAGCUCAGUUGGUUAGAGUGUGGUGCUGAUAAAGCCAAGGUUGCAGGUUCGAUCCCUGUAUGGGACA